CUCACUCAGCUUGGUUUCUUCUAGAUGGUAGGUCACGGUCAAGGGUGUCGAACAUUCACAGGUAUUUCCCUCUGAAUUGCAGUGUUACAGAUAUUUACCAAUUACAUACAAUGAAAAUAAAAACAGAACAUGGUGAUCUGUUUUGCUGGUGUAAAAGCAAAAUUAAAAGGAAAGCAGGAAAUUUAGACUUUUGCUCAAUCCUGUGUAGUGUAGGUGGUUUCCUCACCACCAAAGAGUUAAAAAGUGUGG